rnacentral:lncRNA from 1 species
AGGUGCUUGAGGCGAGGUUUUUUGGGCGGAAGGGAGAAGCCGGCGGGUGUUUUGGAGGGGAAGAGCGGGGUGGGGGGGGUUUGGGGGGUGUAGAGAGCAAUUUAGGUGAGGGGGUGGGAAGGGUGGGGGGUAAUUUAGGAAUUUUUAAUUUUUAGGGGUGUCCCUAGCAAAUGGGGGGGUGUAGAGAGUAUUUAAUUUUUUUUUAAUUUUUGGGGGGUGUCCUGAGCAAUAGGGGGGGUGUAUAUAGAACCACCCGUAUUGUUUUCAUCCAAUCUGUAAAACUUCUGAGAGCAAAGAUUUUAUGUUUUUAUAUAAAAAUGAAAACAA